rnacentral:rRNA from 1 species
AGUGGCGAACGGGUGAGUAACGCGUGAGUAUCUGCCCUUAGGAGGGGGACAACAGUUGGAAACGACUGCUAAUACCCCAUAUGUCUACGGAUGAAAGAUUUUAUCGCCUGAGGAUGAACUCGCGUCUGAUUAGCUAGUUGGUGAGGUAAUGGCUCACCAAGGCGACGAUCAGUAGCUGGUCUGAGAGGAUGAUCAGCCACACUGGGACUGAGACACGGCCCAGACUCCUACGGGAGGCAGCAGUGGGGAAUUUUCCGCAAUGGGGGCAACCCUGACGGAGCAAUACCGCGUGCGGGAGGACGGCCUGUGGGUUGUAAACCGCUUUUCUCAGGGAAGAAGACCUGACGGUACCUGAGGAAUCAGCAUCGGCUAACUCCGUGCCAGCAGCCGCGGUAAUACGGAGGAUGCAAGCGUUAUCCGGAAUUAUUGGGCGUAAAGCGUCCGUAGGUGGUUAAUCAAGUCUGCUGUUAAAGAGCGGAGCUUAACUCCGUUUAAGCGGUGGAAACUGGUUGACUAGAGAGUGGUAGGGGUAGAGGGAAUUCCCAGUGUAGCGGUGAAAUGCGUAGAUAUUGGGAAGAACACCGGUGGCAAAAGCGCUCUACUGGGCCACAUCUGACACUGAUGGACGAAAGCUAGGGGAGCGAAAGGGAUUAGAUACCCC